UCAUCGAUUGCAUUUUAUGAAAAUGUUUUGAACUGUACAGGAAUUGAAGUUAACAUAAAUACAUGUCCAAAGGGAUCACGUGGCUGUCCAUCAGGAUCACCUGUAGCUGUAAAAUGUCAAAAAGGCAGCACCUUGUCUGGAUUUUCUGUGUAUGUAUCAGAGGCAAAAGACUGGAAGUCAGGAACUCUAUGUUAUCAACACGAUAUUCAACAAAGACCCCAAAAUAACAUCACUGUUGACUGUGUCACUUCCGGUCGCUACGUCACUGUUUACAAUAGAAGGAAUAUUACGUUUUACCCAAAUGUAUCCGAAUUUUCUUAUAUAAAUAUAUGUGAAAUCGAAGUUAAAGGAUGUGACCUGGGCUUUUACGGAGAAAACUGCACGAGAUGUCCUCAGAACUGUUUAAAUAACACAUGCCACUUUCAGAUUGGAGAAUGCUUUGAGUGUAAAAAUGGAUAUACUGGAGAGUAUUGUGAAAAAGAAUGUCCAGCUGGUAAAUAUGGACAAGGAUGUUCUGUUCAAUGUGGGCAGUGUAUUGAAAAUCAACCGUGUUACCACGUAAAUGGAUCAUGUCCUGGAGAGUGUUCACCUGGAUGGAGAGGAGAGAAAUGCG